ensembl:snRNA Gm24150 predicted gene, 24150
GUGUUCACUUCAGCAGCACAUCUACUAAAAUUGAAAUGAUACAGAGAUUAGCAUGACCACUGUGCAAGGAUGACAAGCAAAUUUGUGAAGCAUUCCACAUUUUG